rnacentral:misc_RNA from 1 species
UUCCCAUUGAUGUGGUACUAUGCCACAAUUCUUUACUUUGGAAAUUAUUACAGAAAAGAUCCUAGGGAGCGAGCUGGCCUCGCUGCUGCUGCCAUUGCUGCGAUGGCAUGUUCUGUUGUGUUAUUGGUCAUAGUAGCUUACCAUGUUCUCUUUUAGCUCAGCAUUUCAUUUGCUAGUGUGCUCUUAACAUGUACGUGUCAAAACAAGACACUUUCAACUGGAAGAAAUUGCCAAUGCAAAUGUAGAUAGGAAGUACUGGUGGAAGAGCACAAAGUAAAUGUUAUUACAAGGCUAUUCUUCAACAAUUGCAGAUACCAACACUUCAUAAGCAUAUACAAAAACUUGGAACUUCUUUCCCUGUGUUUUAUUGUACCAAUGGGCUUGUGGUGUUAGGGAACAUUGUCGAUUAGCUUAAUAUAUACACAAUUAUGUACGAAUUAGGCAUUGAUGCUUGAGGCACUGUUUAUAUGUGAGGAUAUGUCAUGGGUUCAAUCAAAUAGAUUUAUUUGCGGACAUGACUGGAAGCU